ACACAAAACAGGAGUGUUAAGAUUUCCUAGAGUGGGGAUUCCCCUGCAGCAGAACAUGGCUUUAACAGAACUUGGGAGACCCUUCCAAUGAAAGGUGUUUUGUUCACAAAGCACCAUCACUUUGCAGACUUUGAUCCUAUUUCUACAAUAAAUGAAGUGAGUAGUUAAGAGUAUGAAAUGAAAAAUCUAUACUUCUACUAGAACUCCUAUCCUUUAAUAUUGGUCAGGCAACUGUAGAACUGAUGUUAUUCUUGCAGUAGCAGUUAAGAUCUUCAGAAUAUUUUAUUUAUGAGUGUUUAGCAUGUGUGUGUUUUGUAAUUGUGUUUUGUGAAGGAUUUUUGUUUUGUUUUUUAAACAUACUCCUAGGAUAGGGAACAUAAAAUUUAUCCCUGCAGGCCUGCAUUCCAUUCAAAAGUUAGCUUUCAAAGGUAUGAGAGAGAUGAGGAAAAUACCAAAAAGAGAACAAGCACAACUUGCACCUGUUUAUCAGCUUUAUUAUGGAUAUUAUUUAUAUCCAUAUUAUAAUAUUAUUUAUUAUUCCAAAAUAAUGGAUACUGCUACUGAACUAUACAUCUUCAAUAUUAGAUGUAGCCCAUGCCUGGGAAGGCAUGUCAGGAAGAACAUAAAUCUGUUGGAGUGAGGCCAGAGGAGGGACACAAAGUUGAUCAGAGGGAUGGAGCACCUCUCCGGUGAGAAAAGGCUGAGAGAAUUUGGUUUGUUCAGCCUGGAAAAGAGAAGGCUCUGGUGACCUAAUUGUGUCCUUACAGCACCUGAAGGGAGCCUACAAGAAAGAUGAAGAGGGAGUUUUUACAAGGGCAUGCAGUGACAGGACAAGGGGGAAUGCUUCGAACUGAAAGAGCAGGUUUGGAUUGGGUAUUUAGAAAAAACUCUUUACUAUGAGGAUGGUGAGACACCAGAACAGGUUGCCCAGAGAAGCUGUGGAUGCCCCAUUCUGGAAGCGUUCAAAGCCAAGCUGGCUCUGAGCAACCUGGUCUUGGGAAAGGUGUCCCUGCACAUGGCAGGGGUUUUGGAACCUGAUGAUCUUUAAGGUCCUUUCCAACCCAGGGCAUUCUGUAAUUUCAGAAGUAUUACAAUCCUAAAUCCUCUGCAGGCCUUGUUCUGUUCUGUAUGGGAAAGUAACAACUGAAACCACUGCCAUAUUUAACCUAUGCCAUAUGCUAACAGAUCUAAUAUCUCUUAUAUUUAGAAUAUUUUGUCCAUGGUAUGGCUGUCUCAUAAAGCAAAGUAUUACAGGCAGGUAGCAAAGGAGAGCCAGCAGGUUACACUGGUUUGAGCAUUGGCUCUGCACAGCUCUGAUGUCAAAGAGAAUGAGAAGCAGCAGCUGGGACUAUGCCAAGAACCAAACUGAGGGAGCUACAGCAUCCUCACCUGCCACUGCCCUGACCAUGUGUGUGCAACACAGCACAGCCUCUGUCCCUUGCACACGUGUGUGCAACACAGCACAGCUUCUGUCCCUCGCACACGUGUGUGCAACACAGCACAGCUCCUGUCCCUUGGACACGUGUGUGCAACACAGCACAGCCUCUGUCCCUUGGAUACGUGUGUGCAACACAGCACAGCCUCUGUCCCUUGCACAUGUGUGUGCAACACAGCACAGCCUCUGUCCCUUGGAUACGUGUGUGCAACACAGCACAGCUCCUGUCCCUUGCACAUGUGUGCAACACAGCACAGCUCCUGUCCCUUGGACAUGCUCUGCACCAGAGUACACAGAACUGCAUCCUGAGCUGUUGGCUUUAGCCUGCCUAGGAGGGGCAAGCAACAAGUUUGUGCACUUCCUAAGUUCUUCUGCUUCUGGUUGUCGUCCCUGCUUCCCUCUAUUACCUUGCUUAAAUAGGAAAUACUUUCAUUUCACCUAUAUUACUCUGUUCAGAAAGAAAAUUAAGACAUGUUAAACACAAAACAAAAAUUUAUGUUUUUCUCUUACAUGUUUAGGGCCAUCUUGGGAUAACCUAAACCUGUGACACACAUACAAACACACGACCAUAAACCGUUGAAGAGAAAGCACAUACUGGAAUGUUUUAUUAAGAACAUUCAUUGCUUUAUUUGCAGAAUCCUUUUCCUCAAGUCACUCAUUCCUGUUUCUGUUGACAGCAUAGCCAAGACUGUUUUAUAACCACUUCCUCUGUGCAAGUGUGCAGCACAACUUCAAGUGGAGCUCAAGUUAACGCAUCUGUCAAGUUAACUCUUAAGGUAAAUCUUUUAUGUCAAUCAUUCACUAUUUAGGAUGCUCACAUUUCUAGGUUUGAUUUAUCCACAGUCAAUUUCUGAGUUUUCUCCAUCCCAUCCAGCUGUUGAUCGCUGCAAUUUUUUUCUUCCACAGGCUUAACAGGUUUUACUGCAUACUUAAAUUUUCAUUGAACUUACACUUGACACCAAACUCAACUGAAGGAUCGUGGGGAUAUACUGGAUAUAGUUUGUGUUGCUUCCCAGUGGAUGGUUGGCAUCAGAAGAAUGGGAUUGCCCUUGUUCGUGUUGCUGCAGGCUCAUGAUCUGGACCCCAGGACUCGAGCAGGACUGAGGGACACAUGCAAGUGGUAAGAAGCUGGAUCAUCUUUCUUCAUCUGCUCACUGCCUUCACAGAAUCUGCAAGUGUGACAAAGUAUUUCAUCCCUUUACAGGAUUAGGGACGCGGAUUUGCCUCUCACCGAGGUGCUGCUGGCUGGUUCACUGGAGGGUGUAUCUAAGACCUGAUUUAACCUGAAGCAUGCACUUCCUCAGGAGGUCUGCAGCAGGGCUGGGAGACUGCCAACACUGCAUCCCUUCCUGUCACCUGCUUCACAGGACUGCAGUGCCUGUGCUAUGCUCUCGGCUCCCUCACCCUGAAAUGUUCCUGGUGAUGGUUUGUACAGAGCUGCCUUGCAGCAGGCUUUGCUUUUGGUGGCAGUCUCCCUUGUUGCCAUGUCAUUCAUGAAGAAGAUGGCUUUAUCCUUGCCUUUAUUCCACUGGGACCAGCUGCUCUACCCGCAGCACCAAAAGUGGCAAAUCUUCCAUAACCUUUUUUAAUCUUCAAUUGAAGCUCUACAUCACAUGACCUUCUUGGGGUUUUUUGAGAGGUAAAGACUUGUUGUUGUUAUUGUUGUUGUUUUAGAAACAACACCAAAUAAAAAUCCAAACACCAAAACCCAAGAAACCCAAAACCGACAGAAUAAACAAAAUCAAACCCCACACAUUGCACCCAAGUUGGAGAAACGACUGCAUUGUGUGACUGUCCAUACAGUACAUGGGAGUACAAAGCAUUCCCAGCCUGGUCUUGCACAUCCACUCCCCAUACCUAUUAAUAGCUUUUAGGCAUGAGCAUAGACAUGGAGACAGGCAGGAGCAGUUUGCCAUGCAAACAUUUAUCUGGGAGCCCCAUCCCAUUUUCUAGAACUAAAGAUUUCAGUGUGAUAAAGUGGACAUUUUAAAGCAUUGGUGGAGAUAGGGGGGAUGUAACUGCACUUAAUCUGGGGUUGGAUUUGCAUCCUCAUAUCUUGGAGUCUGCCAGUAAAUAGCAAAGUAUAGGAGCAAUGGCAAUAUGUCCUUCUUAAUCUGUAAAAAGGAAAGGACAGUUUUAAAUAUCCAUCAGUCUUUCAAAUCAUCUUAAGGCAUAUUGAUCCUGAAUCAUCAAAGGGGAAUUCAACAGGGGUGUUCUUGUUAGUGAUCUAAAAAUAUAAAUGUGGUUGAGUACAUGGAAAACUGUAUCUUAUUCCAGUUGUCUUUAUUACUACAAUAAAUGAUACCAACUCUUUCUUCCUACAGACUUUAUCUCAUCCGUUUAUAGUGCUGGCAUUUAUUUUGUUUUGAGCUGAGGAACAAUGCAUACCUAGAUAGUGUAAGGUUGUAGAGGCUUUAUGAACAUACCUUUAAAAAGGAAUUGUUUCUGCUGUGGUUACUUGUUUGAACUGAGAAAAGAUACUCAUAUUUCAUACUCCUGAAAGAAAUAGCAGGCUUGCUCUGCAGUUCUGAGUGAUCUGCUCAUAAAGGAUCCAUUCCAGAAAAUUCCCAAAUCUCUCCCCACUAUUUUCUCUAAUAGGUGGCAAAUCCUUAGUAGCUCUCAGAAAUGCUCACAAGUCUGCAGGGCAUGAAGGCUUUGCUUUGGUUUA